AGUGAACGCUGGCGGUAGGCCUAACACAUGCAAGUCGAACGGCAGCACAGUAAGAGCUUGCUCUUACGGGUGGCGAGUGGCGGACGGGUGAGGAAUACAUCGGAAUCUACUUUUUCGUGGGGGAUAACGUAGGGAAACUUACGCUAAUACCGCAUACGACCUACGGGUGAAAGCAGGGGAUCUUCGGACCUUGCGCGAUUGAAUGAGCCGAUGUCGGAUUAGCUAGUUGGCGGGGUAAAGGACCACCAAGGCGACGAUCCGUAGCUGGUCUGAGAGGAUGAUCAGCCACCCUGGAACUUGGACACGGUCCAGACUCCUACGGGAGGCAGCAGUGGGGAAUAUUGGACAAUGGGCGCAAGCCUGAUCCAGCCAUACCGCGUGGGUGAAGAAGGCCUUCGGGUUGUAAAGCCCUUCUGUUGGGAAAGAAAAGCAGCAGGUUAAGACCCCGCUGUUCUGACGGUACCCAAAGAAUAAGCACCGGCUAACUUCGUG
rnacentral:rRNA from 1 species